CAACAGAUAGCAAAUACUUGGGUUUUGAUCUCAGGUGUCAUUUGGCAUAAGAGGGGGUUCUGAUCGAUCUUCUGGAGAUGCAAACAGAGGGGGUUCUGGUCUUCUGGAGAUGCAGCAGACGAAGGGGAAGAUGAAGAGAACGGGAAGAUGAAGAAAUGAAGAAUUAAUCUGGAGUGUGUUUCUUUGUUCAAUCAUGUAUAUUUUGUUUGUAUAUUUAUUGACAUUCAUCCCCUUCUCCCUCCUUGUAUCGAAUAUGAUGAGAAUUUUAAUAAUUAGUUAAUAUUAUUGGUUGUUCUUCAAAUAUA